CGUAAAGACUUAUUUAUUCUAAAAAGUAAGUACUAGAACAAAAAAUUACAAAAAAUGAUAUGUUUUGUAUUAACGUGUUUCUUUUUUUCCGCGUGUAUUAACUAAGUUCGAAAACUAUAAAAGAGACAGCACCUGCGUAUUUUAGAAUUCAACUGAAAAAACGCAACUUCAUACGCCACCAGCGCAUCUUAGAGCAUUAAGCGAAUGUCCGAGACCGACCGCCUAUCUUCCUCUGAUUUCAAAUUACAGAAGAAGCGGAACUUCAUACGCUUACUUCACCGGAUUGCUGCUGUUAACUGUUCCGGUGACGAUGUCCGAUCAAAACCCUAAACCCUAAAUCAAUUUUCCCGCCGAUCUAUCUAUUGGAUUGGAGCCCCGUCCUUCUCUUUAUUCAGGAUGCUGUCGCAAAUCUCUGGACUGGAAGUGACUCUGUCGGGAAAUGGGGAGCAUUAAGCGAAUACCUGAGGCUAUUUGGAGUUCAAUUCGAUCAGGGGUUAUCUUGUUGUUGAGGAGUUGGUUUUCAACAGACUCGAUGCUCCUGCCACCAAGCGGCAUCAAAAUACAGCCGUUCAGAUGAUAUGUAUGCUUUCCCAGCAAGCUUUGGCUUUAAAGGAGAGGCUCUAAGCUCUAUUUCUGACGUUUCUUUGUUGGAAAUUGUUACCAAAACUCACGGGAGGCCAAAUGGAUAUUGUAAGGUUUUGAAGGACGGCAAGUGGUUGUACCUUAGAAUUUGAUGAUUGUAGACAAGAUGUUGGUACAACAGGUAAUUCUGUAUUAUCCUACCUGAUACAUGAGUUGAUUGUUGUUUGCUAAUAAGGAAAUUUGUUGGGAUUUUUCUUUUUGCGGUCAUUGUUCGUGAUGACAUGGGCAUAUGCUUUAUUCCCUUCUGAUGACGUGGGUAUAUGCUUUAAAGAGGCGAUGAUUUUUGCCAAUUUUAUUCCCUUCUGAGCUGAUUAUUCGGGCAUUUGAGGUUAUCCGACCCGUAUCUCGGCAGGGCAUGCCACUAGAUUUUAUGAUGAUUUUUGCAGCCAUGGCGUUGUUGGACUCUCUUUUUGCCUGAGCUUAACACAGAUCUGAGCCCAACUUUCUCUGUCAGUUUAGGGAAACUAAUGGCUGGGAAAGUGAACAAAGCAAAAGCUUGAAAGGGAAAGAAUGAGGCUACAGAGAGUUGAUGAUUUUUCAUUGAAUGGGUGAUUGCUCCUCUCUGUAUUCAGCCAAUGAUUUCUGCAUUACUGUAAGAAUUCCAACUAUCCUUCUAUCAAUUUUAUUGGAGGGAGUAUAUUAUUAACAGCUUGCUUGGAUUGUUGUUAUAUAUCGUCAAAAGGGUUUCUAUGUCCUUCCACUUUUUUUUCCCUUUAUUUUAAUGCUUCUGCCAGAGCAUGGAAUGUUGCCGGUGGAAGCGAUGAGGGUGAGUAUAAUCAGACGGCUUGAAAGAGGCGAUGAUGAUUUAUGUCAAUUUUUAUUACCUUAUGAGCUGAUUAAUCGGGCAUUUGACGUUAUCCGACCAGUAUCUUGGUGGGGCAUGCCACCAGAUUUUCUGGUGGUUUUUGCAGCCAUGGCGUGGUUAGACUCGCUUUUUGCCUGAGCUUAAGCACAGAUCUGAGCCUUAAUUUACUGGACUCCAUUACUGUAAGAAACCCUAUAACCCUUUUGUCAAUUUACUGGACUCCAUUAUUGUUUGGGUUGUUUUCUGUAAAAAUUUAUUUCAAAACACCUAUUUAUGUGUUGGCGAGUCGCAUCCCCGCGCAACGAAUUGCUUUUGAAACUUCAAUAUGAGUGAAAUUAAUAGGUUAAAACAGCUAAACAUCAUUAUUUAUUAUUAAUCGUAUAGGAUUUCAAAGUAUUAAAAAGGACCCCCUAACAGUUAUGCGUCACAGCUGUUCUCGGAGAACAAAAUAAUCUCCCUUUUGUUAUGGGAAAACAAUGCAAAACUACAUUUCUAGCUUCUUUUGGUUGCAAAACCAAACAGGCCAUUGUUAACAAGGACAUGUCAUGCAUAUUUGUUUUACUGAUUGGAGUAUUGUAUUGCGUAUAACAAUGUGCUUGCGGUUUCCCAAGACUGACAAUUCUUUCGGUUUGAACUUAGUCUCCUGGUUUUUGCUUGCUCAAUUAUUUCUGCUUCCCUUCAAAUGGAUUUUGCGAUUUUUCUGAAAAUUGACGUCAAUUUUCAUAAAUCUAGAUAUUUGCUACAUCAACUUCUUGGAGCCUUGAUGUCUUUAGGAUAUGGUGACAUCUGGCUGUAUAUUGAUUUUUGAGUGGGAUCAGGGUAGAGGGGUGGCUCAUAUUCUCAGGAGUUUUAAAUUGUGGAUUAAUCUGGGCCAUCUAAUUCAUUCUUCAGCUGUGGAGGUUGGAAACCCAGCUUUGACCUAUUAAAUAUGCUAACACUGUUGAUCUAUGGCAUCAUUCUAGAGACUCAAGAGCUUUCGAGUAUACUUUUUUCUGUAUCCUUUGUUUUCAAAGGGUAUCAGCUUACCUCCUUCGUUAGAGUUACUGAGUAUCUUUUCUCUUCUUUGAAGUAAUAAAAGAGAGAAAUAUAUUAAUGACUUUGAUGCCACCAAGGUGCAACUGUCCCGGUGACUAUGUCCGAUCAAAACCCUAAACCCUAAAUCUGUUGCUAUUCUUCCAUCCAUAAAAAAGGAAAGAAGGAAAGUUCGAUAACUUGAUAUUGUCAGAUUUUCUUUGAACACUUAAAGAAAAAAAUACCCUUUCAAAGUUUCGAUAUUCUCUAUGAUCUUACUAGGUAUUGAAUGGAAAAAGAUGUGGAGUUGUUCUUGAAGGCCCCACAACUCAAAAAAAUUUAGAUUUGUAGUAUUUUGAAUGAGGACACUCAAAUCGACAGACUUUCGUAAAUGCCCUCACUGGCCAUUUUCCUUUACAUGGUCUAGACUUUUUGACUUUGGUUGUUUCUUAAAAAUGGAAAAUUGUGCUAUGUAAGAGAAUGGAGAAUUAUAUGGUUCAUCUUUUCUGAUUUUGUUAAUGUUUUGAGGAUCAGUAGAGGUGGGCUGCUGAGAACAUCACAGUUAAGUGACUAAUGAUGGCAAGUCGUGCUUUCAUGCUGUUUUAAUCGUUUAGACUAAUUCCACCUUGCGAAUUUGUGUGUUGCUUGCAAAACGGCAGUGACCGGUGAGGCUCUUCAAUGAAUUCUUAUGUUCCUUUGUUUGCUACUUCUGAUGACGUGGGCAUAUGCUUUAUUCCCUUCUGAUGACGUGGGAAUAUGCUUUAAAGAGGCGAUUUUGAUUUUUGCCAAUUUUUUUCCCUUCUGAGCUGAUUAUAAUUUGAGGUUAUCAGACCCGUAUCUUGUUGGGGCAUGCCACCAGAUUUUCUGGUGAUUUUUGCAGCCAUGGCGUUGUUGGACUCUCUUUUUGCCUGAGCUUGACACAGAUCUGAGCCUAACUUUCUCUGUCAGUUUAGGGAAACUAACGGUUGGGAAAAUGAACAAAGCAAAGCUCAAAAGGGAAAGAAUGAGGCUACAGAGAGUUGAUGAUUUUUCAUUGAAUAGGUGAUUGCUUCUCUCUGUAUUCAGCCAAUGAUUUCUGCAUUACUGUAAGAAUCCCAACUAUCCUUCUAUCAAUUUUAUUGGAGGGAGUAUAUUAUUAACAGCUUACUUGGAUUGUUGUUAUAUAUCGGCAAGUUGUGCUUUCAUGCAGUUUUAAUCGCUUAGACUAAUUGCACCUGUGAAUUUGUCUGUUGCUUGCACAAAAGGCAGUGACUAGUGAGGCUUUUCAAUGAGUUCUUAUGUUGCUUUGUUUGCUACUUCUGUUGGCAACAAUAUCGAUUUCUUGAAUUUUCUUAAUCUAUGGACCUAUAGAGAGAAUGUGCAGAAAUGACACUUGAAAGGCUUAAACCCUCAAAAAUCCUUCUUGCUUUCAAAAAGAUGGAGCACAUUACUGAUAUAAACUUUUAUUGAUACCUCAGAAUGGAAUAACUAGCCAGAGAAGAAGUGCUUGUCAGGCUUUGUUUUCCUCAUUUAGAGAGGCAUAUAUCCUUCAUAGGGAGGAAUAUGAAAGUUGAAGAGAAUAAGCUAUAAAGUGUAGUAAAAGGUUUGAGAAUAUAGGUGAGCAACUAAUCAUGUAUUAACACCUUUCACUUCUAGACUGCUUGGCAAAUGGUUUACAUGUGCUUUAACUUUUUGAAUGAAUAAUAUGACAGAGAAAGUAUUAGAGAAUGUUAACGCAAGAUGUGUGACAGAUGUUGGUUGCUUGUGAAUCAGAUUUAAGUUCCGGCUUUAACCAAAACAUAUAACUUCAUGCUCAGAGUUAGGUUUAACUUUAAUGCAUGUUGCAAAAUUUAGUGCAAUGGAAUUUCUGGUAAAUGUCAAUUAUAUCAAGUUCCAUAGAUUGGUUGUGUGAUGAAACUCUAAACAAAGAUCGUAAUUUACCUGGUAAAUGAUCUUGAAGUUUGAGAAUGAUUGUUGCAGAUCCAACCCCAGUUUUGAAUUUGGUGAGCAUAGUUUGUGGUAAUUAGUAACCAAUUUCAGGAAUAACCUGCAAAAGCAUGGUCAAAGACUCAAAAUCCAUGUUACCUAUUAUAAAGAGUUUCAAGACAUCCCCACAAGGGUUGUUGAGGAGUUAUCUCGUAUGAUUUCACAAGGGUUGUUGAGGAGUUGGUUUUCAACAGCCUCGAUGCUGGUUCCACCAAGGUACUCAUUUACCCUUUCAAAAUUUCAAUAAUCUGUAUGAUUUUACUAGGUAUUGAAUGGAAAGAUGUGAGUUGUUCUUGAAGACCCCACUCACACAACUCUAAAAAAAAAUUAAGUAGUUUAAUUUAAGGAUGAAAAGUUAUGAUUUGUAGUAUUUUGAAUGAAGACACUCAAUUGGACAGACUUUAGUAAAUGCCCUCACUGGCCAUUUUCCUUUACAUGGUCUAGACUUUUUGACUUUUAUUGUUUCUUAAAAAUGGAAAAUAGUGCCAUGUAAGAGAAUGGAGAAUUAUAUGGUUCAUCUUUUCUGAUUUUUGUUAAUGUUUUGAGGAUCAGUAGAGGUGGGCUGUUGAGAACAUCAUAGUUAAGUAACUAACGAUGGCAAGUCAUGCUUUCAUGCUGUUUUAAUCGUUUAGACUAAUUCCACCUGCGAAGUUCUGUGUUGCUUGCAAAAAAGGCAGUGACUGGUGAGGCUCUUCAAUGAAUUCUUAUGUUCCUUUGUUUGCUACUUCUGAUGACGUGGGCAUAUUCUUUAAAGAGGCGAUGAUGAUUUUUGCCAAUUUUAUUCCCUUCUGAGUUGAUUAUUUGGGCAGUUGAGGUUGUCCGACCCGUUUCUUGGCGGGGCAUGCCACCAGAUUUUCUGGUGAUUUUUGCAGCCAUGGCGUUGUUGGACUCUCUUUUUGCCUGAGCUUAACACAGAUCUGAGCCUAACUUUCUCUGUCAGUUUAGGGAAAUUAACGAUUGGGAAAAUGAAAAAAGCAAAAGCUUAAAAGGGAAAGAAUGAGGCUACAGAGAGUUGAUGAUUUUUCAUUGAAUGGGUGAUUGCUUCUCUCUGUAUUCAGCCAAUGAUUUCUGCAUUACUAUAAUGCAUUUUCAGUGCGCAAAGUUCUGCUCAAUUUAUUAUUUACUUCAUCACCUGAAGUUGUACUUUCUUCUAAAGGAUCUGGUGUCUCAUGAAAUGGACUGGUGCUUAUGGGAGAAAGAUAUGGUAAUCUUUUGCAAACUGUUGCACUGACAUCAUCUUUUCUAGUGUAUUGAUGCUGCUGUACAUAAUUUAUUUUGCCCGACAAUUAUGAUGUUCAUAAGUUGGAAUGGUUGUUGUUGUUGUCUAUAGGAUUGCAUGCAUUACCUCAACUAAUAGGCUGUUUGACGGUUUGUGUUCAUUAAUAUCUUUUUACAGAUGUUUUUUUAUUUAUUAUUAUGUACAUGUGGCUUUGUCCACUCCACAUUCCCUUCCCUACCCUACCCUGGAGGCUGUAGUUCCCCACCUACCUCCCUAAAAGAAGGGGGGGGGGGACUGUGGAAGGUUUUGUUAGUGAAAGAGAGUUACUUAUGCAUCAGAUGGUGCAAAGCAUUUCAGUGUUAUGACAUCGUGUAGUUUUAUCACUUUCUUUUCUCUUUAGAAUAUCGUUGUUGAAGUAUCCUCCUCAUCUAUUGCUAUCCCAUUCCCUGCUCCUCUUUUCAGAUAUACCUGUGAAUUAUGAGAUCAUGAAAAAUAGGUGCAGGGCCCAGUGUUACAAAGCUACACUUAGGCUUCCUUCCCCGCAGCGAAAGAAUUUGUUUUAAUUUUUUGAGUGAGAUUUGGGGCUCAAUUCUCCCAGGGGUUAUCUUGUAUGAUUCCACAAGGGUUGUUGAGGGGUUGGUUUUCAACAGCCUCGACGCUGGUGCCACCAAGGUACAACUGUCCCGGUGAUGAUGUCCGAUCAAAACCCUAAACCCUAAACCUAUUGCUAUUCUUCCAUCCAUAAAAAAGGAAAGAAGGAAAGUUCGAUAACUUGAUAUUGUCAGAUUUUCUUGGAACACUUAGAAAAAAAAUACCCUUUCAAAGUUUCGAUAUUCUCUAUGAUCUUACUAGGUAUUGAAUGGAAAAUGUGAAGUUGUUCUUGAAGGCCCCACUCGCACAACUCAAAAAAAAUUAAGUAGUUUAAUUUAAGGAUGAGAAGUUGUGAUUUGUAGUAUAAAGACACUCAAUUGGACAGACUUUUGUAAACGCCCUCACUGGCCAUUUUCCUUUAAUGGUCUAGACUUUUUGACCUUGAUUGUUUCUUAAAAAUGGAAAAUAGUGCCAUGUAAGAGAAUGGAGAAUUAUAUGAUUCAUCUUUUCUGUUUUUGUUAACGUUUUGAAGAUCAGUAGAGGUGGGCUGCUGAGAACGAUGGCAAGUCGUGCUUUCAUGCUGUUUUAAUCAUUUUGGACUAAUUGCACCUGCGAAUUUGUGUGUUGCUUGCAAAAAAGGCAGUGACCGGUGAGCUCUUCAAUGAAUUCUUAUGUUCCUUUUUUUGCUACUUCUGAUGAUGUGGGCAUAUGCUUUAAAGAGGCGAUGAUGAUUUUUGCCAAUUUAUCCUUCUUAGCUGAUUAUUCAGGCAUUUGAUGUUAUCCGACCCGUAUCUUGGCGAGGCAUGCCACCAGAUUUUCUGGUGAUUUUUGCAGUCAUGGCGUUGUUGGACUCUCUUUUUGCCUGAGCUUAACACAGAUCUGAGCCUAACUUUCUCUGUCAGUUUAGGGAAACUAACGGUUGGGAAAAUGAACAAAGCAAAAGCUCCAAAGGGAAAGAAUGAGGCUACGGAGAGUUGAUGAUUUUUCAUUGAAUGGGUGAUUGCUUCUCUCUGUAUUCAGCCAAUGAUUUCUGCAUUACUGUAAGAAUCCCAACAAUCCUGGAACAGAAAAUCUUUAAGAAUCGGAAUACUAUACUCGAUUUCACUUCUGGCGCCUUGCAUUUUGUUGGUGAUUCAUUGGUUCUUCCUGAUACCAUAGUUUAAAACUGGCUGGAGAAUGCGAAAGUUCUCCAUCUGAUUGAUAUGAGGUUUAUUCCGAUUGUGGCGAACACAACACUUGCUAUAAUUGAUCAGGUCUAUUCUGGCAUUUGCAUAGUCCAUUAUGGCCAUUCUUUGUUUCUCAUGAAUUUCCUUAUAAUGCAUUUACUUUAAACGAUUGUUUCUCUUAUGGAUCAUUUCGUUGGACUCAUUAGCAAAUAUAAAUCUCAGCAUAAACUUCUGCAUAAAUAGUAUAACAUUUAUUGGCCGCGUACGAAAAAGUAAUAUCCGCACAACUAUGUAGCACUCAGUUAUCUGCAAAAAAUAAGCUAGACAUAACUAAUGCAGCAUUUGGUUGGUGGUAUUUAAUUGUUCAUUAUUAAUACCCUCAUGACUUAUGCAAGAAUCUAUGUAUUACUUUAUGCGGGAUAGAUUAGGGAAUAAAAACAUAUUUUUCAACAAUGCAUGGAUAUGAGUAUUUACAGGCAAAAAUUCCCUUUGAUGUAGAUAGUCCCUACAUAGCAUAGCUCAUUUAUUAUUCAGUGUUAGAGAAUCCCUACAUUAUUAUUUACCGCAUAACAGUUUUUACCUGCAUGACUAACUUUAACCAAAUAAUGUCUUACUCUUUUGUAUUGCAAUUUUGUGAUAUUACUGAAGAGAAGGAGAGUGAUGUAGGGUGCUUUAUCUUUUGUUCCAUCACUUUAUGACCUUCUGGUGGAGUAUAUUCUUAUGUAGAAACUGAGGCCCAUGUCAAAAUAAAUGUGCAUCUCUUUUUGCAUAGUCAAGGGUUAUGAUCUUUGUUUGAUUCUAGCAUUUAUGUUCGUUGAGCAUUACACUCAUUGUCAUGUUCUACAGCAUACCUCAGAUGAGCGAAUUCGUUUGGAAGAACUGCGUGAGAAGGCAAUGAUUGUCUAAAAACUCAUUGAUGUGUCGUUUCAACGUGGAGUCUGUAACUUAGUGAAUUAUCAGGUCCUAUCUUGACAAAAGAGGACAACAACCUAUCUUGAUUCCGAGCAAGAAUUGGUGAGUAUAAUCGGUGGCUUUAAAGAGGUUAUCCGACCCAUAUCUUGGCGGGGAAUGCCACCCGAUUUUCUGGUGAUUUUUGCAGCCAUGGCGUUGCUGGACUCUCUUUUCUCCUGUGCUUAACACAGAUCUGAGCCUAACUUUCUCUGUCAGUUUAGGGAAACUAACGGUUGAGAAAAUGAACAAAGCAAAAUCUCAAAAGGGAAAGAAUGAGGCUACAGAGAGUUGAUGACUUUUCAUUGAAUUGGCGAUUGCUUCUCUCUAUAUUCAGUCAAUGAUUUCUGCAUUACUGUAAGAAUCCCAACUAAUCCUUCUAUCAAUUUUAUUGGAGGGUGUAUAUUAUUAACAGCUUGCUUGGAUUGUUUUUAUAUAUCGUCAAAGGGUUUCUAUGUCCUUCCACUCGUUUUUUUUUCUUUAUUUUAAUGCUUCCGCCAGAGCAUUGAAUGUUGCCGGUGGAGCUAGUGGAAGCGAUGAGGGUGAGUAUAAUCAGACGGCUUGAAAGAGGCGAUGAUGAUUUAUGUCAAUUUAUAUUCCCUUCUGAGCUGAUUAAUCGGGCAUUUGACGUUAUCUGACCCGUAUCUUGGCGGGGCAUGCCACCAGAUUUUCUGGUGUUUUUUGCAGCCAUGGAGUGGGUAGACUCGCUUUUUUCCUGAGCUUAAGCACAGAUCUGAGCCUCAAUUUACUGGACUCCAUUACUGUAAGAAACUCUAUAACCCUUUUGUCAAUUUUAACGGACGGAGUAUUCUAACAUCUUCAGGGUACUAUAUAAACAAAAGUUCUGGGAAAUGAAUAAAGCAAAAGCUCAGAAGGGAAAGAAUGAGGUUACAGGGAUCUGAGGGUUUUUGUUCCAAGGGUGGUUGCCUCUGACUGAUUUAACCAAUGAUUUCUCCAUUACUGUCUCCUUUUUUGUACCUGAUUUGUUGCACUUGAGCCUUGGGUCUUUCGAAAACAACCUCUUUGCCUCCACUAGGUAGUGGUAAUGUCUGCAUACAUUCUAUUCUCCCCCGUCCUCCACGAGAUGGAUUGGUGCUGGGAGAAAGAUAUGGUAAUCUUUUUGCAAAAUGUUGGACUGACAUCAUCUUUUUGCAAUAUAUGGUAAUAUUUUUGUAUAGAGGAUGAUUUCCUGGAUAGAAAAUUCAGUGCUUCAGCUGGCUUCAGUUAUAAAUCAGACUGCCUGUUAGGUUCAGGACGGGAGGAUGAGUCUAGUGUAGCUGGCAGAUCGAGGAUGCCUCAUUUAGGGAGUCUCUUGAACUUGAUGACAGUUCAAAUGUGAUGCAUGAGAGAAGGAAACCAUUUAUGCGGAGCACAGAAGCCUGAUACAUGAUGGAUCAUCUUUUGCUAGUGAUGAAGAUAUUAAGUUUGAAAAAAGUAACUACAGAAAUAAACGAAAUUGCCUUGAAGAUGAUUAUACUUUUGAAGUAUCUGAUGAUGUUAACCAGGUCUUAAAUGAAAGGUCUGCUAGAGGCAAGGCCAAGGAAAUAUAUUUUGAUAACUUCUCCUGGUGCAAAACUCAGAGCAAGGCAAUGCGGAGUCAAAAUUUGACAGGGCAUAUGCUUUAUAUGAAAAUUGAUAUACCUUUUCACCUCUUAGUAUGAUGCUCCAUUCUAGUAUCAUAAAGUAUUUUUUUUCCAAAUGAAUAUUCUUAUAUCGCAACUCUAUUUCUUUUUUCCAUGAGAUUUACUUCCUUAUAGGACUGUUCUUUUUAUGUUUGUUAUUCUUAUAAGUAGUGUAGUCCUAGUUUGAACUUAAAACCAGUUUUCACCAGUUAUAUGUUGCUAUAGGCAGUGGGACCUGCUAUGUUAAGGUGGAUGACCAAUGGAUCUGGUGUCUCACGAGAUGGACUGGUGCUGAUGGGAGUAAUUUAUGGACGUCUAGUGUUUUUACCUUGGAGUUGAUGAUUGUAGUCAAGAUUUCGGUACAACAGGUAAUUCUGUAUAAGCCUAUCUGAUACAUGAAUUGACUGUUGUUUGCUAAUAAGGAGAUUUGUUGGGAUUUUUCUCUUUGCAUUUAUUGUUUGUGAUGUAUUUUAUAACCAACCAGUUCGAAGGAAGCAAAUACACUCCAUGUACUUUUAAUUUGAAUGUAAGUGAUGUAUUUUUUAACCAACCAGUUUGAAUGCAAGUGAUGGUUCAUUCAAGCUUUCAGGAUACAUCUCAGGUCCUGAUGUUUACACAGUGAAAGUAUACUGGCCCAAAUUGAUGGAUAAAGAGAUGUGAUAAGUCAUCUUUUCUUCUCUGUUUCCCUAACAACCACUGUUUAAUUUGCAGGUCCUUCAGUAUUUCUGUAUCCACUUAUUUCAGUAUGUUUUCCUGACAAAAGAAACAAAAAAAUAUUUGGUUAACAUUUACUAUAUCGGAUGCUUGUUUUUUACGGUUUUUUUUGUUUUCCUUGACCUUCGUAAUGUAGAUAUCAAUUCAAGAUUUGUUUCAAAUGGACCACUACAUAAAUUACUUCAUAACAUAGCUAUGAGUUUUGACAGUGCUUCUGACAUUGAGCAGCGAAGUAUAUCUCAGAUAUAUCCACGGUUUUUGUUGAACCUAAACUGCCCAAGAUCUUUAUAUGCAUUUGACUUUGGAGCCUUCAAAGACCUCUGUGGAAUUUAAGAUAUACCUGUGAAUUAUGAGAUCAAGAAAAGAGGUAGGGUCCAGAGUUGCAAAGCUACACUUGAGCUUCCUUCCCUGCAGCCAAAACAACUGACUGGAGAGUGCACUGUCCGAGAGAGAUUCAAUCUUCACCAGAAUAUUCUGUGGGGAAGUGCUUCCAAAAAGCGUGAUCCUGAGUCCAGAUUCCUCUUGUCAGAUUGAAAGUUCAAGUCGGUGCAACCCCUUUCAUCCAAUGCCAGAAACUAGAGCUGUAAGGAGACUGCAGCAUUCUGCAAAAGCUAUCUACUCAGAACUUCCACAUCAGUCGUCCCAUCAGUGUGAUCAAUCUUCCACCCAAAGUUGUGGUGACGGUGUAUUCUCUGAUGAAAGGUAAUGUUACCAAAUUUCUUGGGAGGGUUAGGUCUCUUUCUGAUAUUAUCUCAAAUAUGUUAGUACCUUAAAAAACCUGAUGUUUCUCUCUUCAAGCCAAGUGUGAAAAUGAAACUUGUUAGCAUCCGGAAUAGCAAAUUACAAACUCAAGGGGAGUGCAGGGAGUGCACAAGUACACGUGAUUGGGAGUCAAAAGAAGAUGGUGGAAUUUUUCCUUUUCCAUUACGAGAUGCAGAGCUGUACUGGAACAGAGAAUCUUAAGAAUCAGGAUACUAUACUCAAUGUCACUUUUGUCGUCUUGCAUUUUGUUGGUGAUUCAUUGGUUCCUGAUACCAUUGGUAAAAACUGCCUGGAGGAUGCCAAAGUUCUCCAGCAGAUGAAUGAAUUCAUUCGGAAGAACUGCGUGAGAAGGUAAUGAUUGUCUUAAAAUUCAUCAAGUGUCAUUUCAACUUGGGGUCUGUAACUUAUUGAAUUAUCAGGUCCUAUCUGGAAAAAUGAGGACAACAACCUAUCUUGAUUCUGAGCAAGAAUUGGUACGUUCAUUAUGAUAAUAGGUGACAUUGAUUUUGAGUCUUUGGCCAUGCUUUUGCAGGUCAUGCCUGAAAUUGGUUACUACUAACUGGGGUUGGAUCUGCAACAAUCAUUCUCAAGCUUCAAGAUCAUUUUCCAGUUGAACCUCCUAACUCUGAGCAUGAAGUUAUAUGUUUUGGUUAAAGCAGGUUUCGUGUAUUUUGUGCGUUAAUCUAACUGAUGUGGAUCUGUUAGAAUUUAUUCAACAGCCCACAACUUGCUGAUACAGAUGGAUCAUCAAUAGUACCCCCAUCAGUGAAUUGGGUCCUGAAUAAACAAGACUUGCAGGGCUGCUAUCACAACAUACUCUCAGGAAACUGUCCAUAUCAUCUGCAACACAAUACAAGAGUCAGAAAAAAACUAAAAUAGUCUACACACAAUAGUUAAGUCAUUGUUUUGAUUUACAGGAUUUGUUGUCUUGGCUUUAGACGAACUCUGUUCAAGGACCUCACCGGGAAGGGAAAAGUUUGUGGUAAUUGGGGAUCUCCAAGGUUUUGGCUAUUUCAACAGUGAUGUUCGUGCAUAUCUUGGGGCUCUAUCCAUUUUAUAGGUCUACUUAUCCAUUUUCAUUUGAUUUUAACCUUCUAUACAUAAGACUGUUUAUUUUACCAGAACACCUACAAAGAUAACCAUAGGUAUACCAAUCCAUGAUAAGAAGAAUUAGUAACCUGGAAAACGGGACAUUUUUGAGUGGCGGAUCUAAAGGAGGCAAGGGAGGUCAAUUGAAUUUCCUUAGUCGAGAAAUGUUACCAUGUAAAUAGGGAAAAAAUAUAUUUUUUUUGUUAUACAUAUGAAAUGUUGAAUCCCCUUUAUAUUAAAAUUACAUUUCAAGAAAUAUCUGUAUUGAAACUUACAUUUGAUGGUAUCCAGUCUGCGAUAAUCUGGAUCUGGAGCAUGGUACAUCUAUACAGAUUAAACAAAUAAAUGUAUGUACUUAAAUGUAACACUAGCUUUGGUGGAAGCAACUCUCUCUCUCAAUCUCCCUCUCGACACACACAUUUGUAUUCAUGUAAAGCCAGAGUAACUCAGUGUGUAUAGAUAAUGAA